rnacentral:tRNA from 1 species
UCGACGACGUGGACCAGGCCGCCGGUCUCGUGACCGACGUUCGCGAGGAAGGCCGCGGCCUCCUGCUUCUUCACCGUGUCGCUGCCGGUGUUGGCGAA